GAUGAAGAACGUAGCGAAAUGCGAUACUUGGUGUGAAUUGCAGAAUCCCGUGAACCAUCGAGUCUUUGAACGCAAGUUGCGCCCGAAGCCAUUAGGCCGAGGGCACGCCUGCCUGGGUGUCACACACCGUUACCCUCGCGCCAACGUCCAUCGUUGGCCGCGGCGCGGGGCGUGCGCUGACCUCCCGCGAGCGGGGUCUCGUGGUUGGUUGAAAAUCGAGUUCGCGGUCGAGGGUGCCGUGAUGAAAUGGUGGAUGGGCGACGCCCGAGGCCAAUCACGCGCGACUCUGUCCGGCUCGGACUCCUGGACCCCUUCGGCGUCUCCGGACGCUCUUUGGCGAGACCUCAGGUCAGGCGGGGCUACCCGCUGAGUUUAAGCAUAUCAACGGAGGA
rnacentral:misc_RNA from 1 species